GACGAACGCUGGCGGCGUGCUUAACACAUGCAAGUCGAACGGAAAGGCCCUGCUUUUGUGGGGUGCUCGAGUGGCGAACGGGUGAGUAACACGUGAGUAACCUGCCCUUGACUUUGGGAUAACUUCAGGAAACUGGGGCUAAUACCGGAUAGGAUCUCCUGCUGCAUGGUGGGGGUUGGAAAGUUUCGGCGGUUGGGGAUGGACUCGCGGCUUAUCAGCUUGUUGGUGGGGUAGUGGCUUACCAAGGCUUUGACGGGUAGCCGGCCUGAGAGGGUGACCGGCGACAUUGGGACUGAGAUACGGCCCAGAAUCCUACGGGAGGCAGCAGUGGGGAAUAUUGCACAAUGGGCGGAAGCCUGAUGCAGCAACGCCGCGUGCGGGAUGACGGCCUUCGGGUUGUAAACCGCUUUCGCCUGUGACGAAGCGUGAGUGACGGUAAUGGGUAAAGAAGCACCGGCUAACUACGUG
rnacentral:rRNA from 1 species